rnacentral:rRNA from 1 species
UACGGAGGGUGCAAGCGUUGUCCGGAUUUAUUGGGUUUAAAGGGUGCGUAGGCGGUUCUUUAAGUCCGGGGUGAAAGCCCACUGCUCAACAGUGGAACUGCCCUGGAAACUGAAGAACUUGAGUACAGACGAGGGCGGCGGAAUGGAUGGUGUAGCGGUGAAAUGCAUAGAUACCAUCCAGAACCCCGAUUGCGAAGGCAGCUGCCUAGACUGUAACUGACGCUGAGGCACGAAAGCGUGGGGAGCGAACAGG